GAGCGGACAGAAGGGAGCUUGCUCCCGGAUGUUACGGCGGACGGGGGAGUACCACGUGGGUAACCUGCCUGUAAAACUGGGAUAACUCCGGGAAACCGGAGCUAAUACCGGAUAGUUCCUUGAACCGCAUGGUUCAAGGAUGAAAGACGGUUUCGGCUGUCACUUACAGAUGGACCCGCGGCGCAUUAUCUAUUUGGGGGGGUAAUGGCUCACCAAGGCGACGAUGCGUAGCCGACCUGAGAGGGGGAUCGGCCACACUGGGACUGAGACACGGCCCAAACUCCUACGGGAGGCAGCAGUAGGGAAUCUUCCGCAAUGGACAAAAGUCUGACGGAGCACCGCCGCGUGAGUGAUGAAGGUUUUCGGAUCGUAAAGCUCUGUUGUUAGGGAAAAAAAAGUGCGAGAGUAACUGCUCGCACCUUGACGGUACCUAACCAAAAAGCCACGGCUAACUACUUGCCACCAGCCGCGGUAAUACUUAGGUGGCAAGCGUUGUCCGGAAUUAUUGGGGGUAAAGGGCUCCCAGGCGGUUUCUUAAGUCUGAUGUGAAAGCCCCCGGCUCCACCGGGGAGGGUCAUUGGAAACUGGGAAACUUGAGUGCAGAAGAGGAG
rnacentral:rRNA from 1 species